AAUCAGGCAGGACUACCCGCUGAACUUAAGCAUAUCAAUAAGCGGAGGAAAAGAAACUAACAAGGAUUCCCCUAGUAACUGCGAGUGAAGCGGGAAAAGCUCAAAUUUAAAAUCUGACAGUUGUUCUGGCUGUCCGAGUUGUAAUCUAGAGAAGUGUUACCCGCGCUGGACCGUGUACAAGUCUCCUGGAAUGGAGCAUCAUAGAGGGUGAGAAUCCCGUCUUUGACAUGGACUACCAGGGCUUUGUGGUGCGCUCUCAAAGAGUCGAGUUGUUUGGGAAUGCAGCUCAAAAUGGGUGGUAAAUGCCAUCUAAAGCUAAAUAUUGGCGAGAGACCGAUAGCGAACAAGUACCGUGAGGGAAAGAUGAAAAGAACUUUGGAAAGAGAGUUAAACAGUACGUGAAAUUGCUGAAAGGGAAACGCUUGAAGUCAGUCGCAUCGACUGGAAAUCAACCUUGCUUUUGCUUGGUGUAUUUUCUGGCUUGAUGGGUCAGCAUCAAUUUUGGUCGCUGGAUAAAGGCUUGGGGAAUGUGGCAUCUUAGGAUGUGUUAUAGCCCUUGGUCGCAUACAGCGGUUGGGAUUGAGGAACUCAGCACGCCGCAAGGCCGGGUCGUUUUACGACCACGUUUACGUGCUUAGGAUGCUGGCAUAAUGGCUUUAAUCGACCCGUCUUGAAACACGGACCAAGGAGUCUAACAUGCCUGCGAGUGUUUGGGUGGAAAACCCAUGCGCGCAAUGAAAGUGAAAAGUUGAGAUCCCUGUCGUGGGGAGCAUCGACGCCCAGACCAGACCUUUUGCGACGGAUCUGCGGUAGAGCAUGUAUGUUGGGACCCGAAAGAUGGUGAACUAUGCCUGAAUAGGGUGAAGCCAGAGGAAACUCUGGUGGAGGCUCGUAGCGAUUCUGACGUGCAAAUCGAUCGUCAAAUUUGGGUAUAGGGGCGAAAGACUAAUCGAACCAUCUAGUAGCUGGUUCCUGCCGAAGUUUCCCUCAGGAUAGCAGAAACUCAUAUCAGAUUUAUGUGGUAAAGCGAAUGAUUAGAGGCCUUGGGGUUGAAACAACCUUAACCUAUUCUCAAACUUUAAAUAUGUAAGAACAAGCCGUCUCUUGACUGGACCGCUUGGCGAUUGAGAGUUUCUAGUGGGCCAUUUUUGGUAAGCAGAACUGGCGAUGCGGGAUGAACCGAACGCGAGGUUAAGGUGCCGGAAUUCACGCUCAUCAGACACCACANAAGGUGUUAGUUCAUCUAGACAGCAGGACGGUGGCCAUGGAAGUCGGAAUCCGCUAAGGAGUGUGUAACAACUCACCUGCCGAAUGAACUAGCCCUGAAAAUGGAUGGCGCUUAAGCGUGAUACCCAUACCUCGCCGUCAGCGUUG
rnacentral:rRNA from 2 species